GACGAACGCUGGCGGCGUGCCUAAUACAUGCAAGUAGGACGCAGUUGCGAACGGGUGAGUAACGCGUAGGUAACUACCUAUUAGAGGGGGAUAACUAUUGGAAACGAUAGCUAAUACAGCAUACGAGUAGAUGGACCUGCGUUGUAUUAGCUAGUAGGUAGGGAAAUGGCCUACUUAGGCAACGAUACAUAGCCGACCUUAGGGGGGUAGUGGGCACACUGGGAAUGGUACACGGCCCAGACUCCUACGGGAGGCAGCAGUAGGGAAUAUUCGGCAAUGGGGGGAACCCUGACCGAGCAACUCCGCGUGAGUGAAGAAGGUUUUCGGAUCGUAAAGCUCUGUUGUUAAGGAAGCGGUACUUAACCAGAAAGGGACGGCUAACUACGUGCCAGCAGCCGCGGUAAUAC
rnacentral:rRNA from 1 species